UACAGAGGUGGCAAGCGUUGUUCGGAAUUACUGGGCGUAAAGGGCGCGUAGGCGGCCUUCUAAGUCAGACGUGAAAUCCCCCGGCUUAACCUGGGAACUGCGUCUGAUACUGGAGGGCUAGAGUUUGGGAGAGGGAUGUAGAAUUCCAGGUGUAGCGGUGAAAUGCGUAGAUAUCUGGAGGAACACCGGUGGCGAAGGCGGCAUCCUGGACCGACACUGACGCUGAGGAGCGAAAGUGUGGGGAGCGAACAGG
rnacentral:rRNA from 1 species